rnacentral:rRNA from 1 species
UGCAAGUCGAACGGAGUAUUAAGAGAGCUUGCUCUUUUAAUACUUAGUGGCGCACGGGUGAGUAAUGUAUAGUUAAUCUGCCCUACACUGGAGGACAACAGUUAGAAAUGACUGCUAAUACUCCAUACUCCUUCUUAACAUAAGUUAAGUCGGGAAAGUUUUUCGGUGUAGGAUGAGACUAUAUUGUAUCAGCUAGUUGGUGAGGUAAUGGCUCACCAAGGCUUUGACGCAUAACUGGUCUGAGAGGAUGAUCAGUCACACUGGAACUGAGACACGGUCCAGACUCCUACGGGAGGCAGCAGUAGGGAAUAUUGCUCAAUGGGGGAAACCCUGAAGCAGCAACGCCGCGUGGAGGAUGACACUUUUCGGAGCGUAAACUCCUUUUGUUAGGGAAGAACCAUGACGGUACCUAACGAAUAAGCACCGGCUAACUCCGUGCCAGCAGCCGCGGUAAUACGGAGGGUGCAAGCGUUACUCGGAAUCACUGGGCGUAAAGGACGCGUAGGCGGAUUAUCAAGUCUUUUGUGAAAUCUA